rfam:TPA: Aspergillus nidulans FGSC A4 chromosome VIII
AUACGGCCCGAUUUCCGCAAAUGAGAAAUUCGGAGGAAUCUUCAAACCACAUGCACCCGUUGUCCGACUCGACUUUCGAGCUGAGUCGGGCGGCCGGUACGGCCCGCAAGGGUCUGGUGUGAGGCACAUCUGCAAUCGGCAUCAGAAACAUCGGGGCGGGGGGAUACUUGUGUCCUUCCCGGUUUCCCCUUGGGAGAGUCAUUGCGAAGAUUGUGUGUGUCUUCAGGCACGACACUUUAGUGCAAUACGCAGCAUGCUUUGCCCCUAUUUUCUCUUGUAGAGAUAGGGACUGGUAUCAUUCGAUUCCGAUUAUUCUGGGGGGAU